AAUCAACGCUGGCGGCGUGCCUCAGACAUGCAAGUCGAACGAUUAAGACUCCCUUCGGGGAGUGCAUAAAGUGGCGCACGGGUGAGUAACACGUAAGUAAUCUACCUGUGAGUGGGGAAUAACAACCGGAAACGGUUGCUAAUACCGCAUAAUGCAGCGGCACCGCAAGGUGACAGUUGUUAAAGGAGCAAUCCGCUUGAAGAGGAGCUUGCGGCAGAUUAGCUAGUUGGUAAGGUAAUGGCUUACCAAGGCUACGAUCUGUAUCCGGUCUAAGAGGACGGUCGGACACACUGACACUGAAUAACGGGUCAGACUCCUACGGGAGGCAGCAGUCGGGAAUUUUGGGCAAUGGGCGAAAGCCUGACCCAGCAACGCCGCGUGAAGGAUGAAGUAUUUCGGUAUGUAAACUUCGAAAGAAUGGGAAGAAUAAAUGACGGUACCAUUUAUAAGCUCCGGCUAACUACGUGCCAGCCGCCGCAGUAACAC
rnacentral:rRNA from 1 species